GAGGUUAGGGCCCGUGGUGGAGCCCAGCCAAGCCCUUCCAGGCCUGCUUUCCUUGUGCAAAAGGAAAAGGUGCCUCGUCAUAAUGGCCUGUGGUUUGGGAGGUGGAGUCAGGUCCUGACUGGCACUGCGGCAGGCCAGGACACCUCCCUGGUGGAGAUCAAGAGGCCACUUUGCAGCAAUGCCCGGCAGCCCGUCACUCGUGCCUGGGGCCCUGUGGCACGCUGCGCUGAGUUAGGGCCUUUCAGAAAACAGGACCACUCACAUCCCCCAAGACCGAUACCAACCUGCACUGUGAAACACGGCAAUAUAAGAUGGACCAGGGUGUCUGAUUCAGGGACUGCUUGUUGCUGUUGUUGCUCCCCUCUGCCUUUCCUGAAAGGUGGGUUUCCCUCACAGAGACAAAACGGUGGCCUGACUUCCAGCUCUUCAAACUUUCAGUUGGAGACUGGCUGGGGCCUGAGAAUUCUGAUAAUGUUCCAGAAGUCUCAGUAUUAUUCAUAAGCUCCUUAUUCAGAGAUCAGAUGUUUAGCCACCAGGAUCUGUAAACAAGAGUGAAAAUGUUAUUAGCCAUAAUCAAAAAGCUCUAAGCCCCAUAAAUCUCACUUAGAAAAACUGCAGCUCUUA
rnacentral:lncRNA from 1 species